ensembl:lncRNA
UGUCCUGUGGAUUCUGUGGAUCCUGUGGGUUGCAGGGUGGGUCCUACCUAGACCAGGCUGAUCCUGGACCAUCCCACAGAUGCUCAAUGAGAUCUGGAUGUGGGGAGUGUGGAACCCAGAUGUUCAUAGGGAGAUGAUGCCACAUCUGGUCCAGCUGAUGGAAGGUCUUGAAGUUCUCUGACUGGCCUCGACUGAAGAUGGUCGUCUCACUGGAUUUAAGGUUCAGAUGCUCAGUAACAAACUCCACCAAUGAGCCAACAGGGAGGCUUUAGGUUUAUUAAAUGUUGCUAUGAAGGUAUCGCUGUUUUUCUUUGUGAAUGCAAUGUGCUGCAACUGAAACUUGAAUUAGAACUUAGAAGUAAAUCCUUCCAUCUGAAAGGAUUUAGUUGCAUUAAUAACCUCAUAACAUUCUAAUUUUUAUUCCAGUCUUGGUUGGAAAUAGAAUCUCUGUAUUGAUUCAGGUAAAAACUGAACUUCACAGCAUGUUGGAGCAAAACAACCAGAUGAAAACUGUGAUGAUGUUGGAUUGUCAGACCGUAAUGUUGCAGCUCAAAGCAGCUUUUCUAUCUCAGUUCAUUCUGACAUUCAGCUAUGAAUCAACACAGCAGAUGGUGAUCCAUGCUGUGGAAGCCUCACAUCUCCUGAUUUAAUGGAGCUGCUUUGCACUUUUUACACUGUUUAUUCACCAACACUUUAUUUAAUAAAAGUCCCAUCUAGUUUUUAUGAGGAAUGUGAUGUUUUGAUUUCUCUGUGAAUAACUGCAGUCUAAUGCAACAGCUGGAAUUGUAACAUCUGUCCUGAUAUUGAUCAUGAAGUAUUGAUCAGAAUACUUAUGGUCAGAAGUCAUCCCUGAAGUUUUACAUUAAAAUCUUUACUUGUGUUGUGAACUUUGGUAAGAAGCAGAAACUUUAGCGUUGCCAUGGAUACAUGAGUGUUAAAUUCUGUCCAUGUUUCCAUUGUGGGAAAUUCAUUCCAGCAGUCUGAGAUAUUACGAAUAAAUAAAUGUGCAUAAUGUGGAAAUGAAGAGAUUUUAUUUUUAUUUAUUCCUACAGCUGCUCCAGGGAAUGUUCUAGAAUUUGGAGGAAUUUAGUCUCACAAUCACAGACAAUAAAUAUUAUCUGAAAGUCGGGUUAUUGUUGUUUAUCAGCACAAUACAAAAAGAUUAAUGUUAGAAAUAUUCCAGUUAAGACUCUAGAAUAUCAUGAUUUAUGUAAAUUUACCUCAAUAAUAUGAAUGUUCAGGUUAAGAUUGUGCAGUGAUAUUAUGUAAGUUUAGCUGAUUAAAGUUUAUGACUCUGCACUAAAAUAUUAUUUAAAUUUACAUCAUUAUAAUAUUUAGGGUCAGACCCUACAGUAUUGAGAUUAAGAAAUCAAAUAUUCUAUAAAUUGUAAAUGCACUGAACUCAUUUGGAUAUAUUUAAGUGAGACUCUACAAUAUUAUUUGACACAAAUCUAUCUAAAUCAAAAUUUUAGUCAUUUUUACUC